AACGCACAUUGCGCUCUCUGGUAUUCCGGAGAGCAUGCUUGUUUGAGUAUCAGUAAAACACCCUCAACCUUUUCUUUAUUGAAAAGGUUGGACUUGAGUGAUCCCAACGGUUUUUUUUUAAAAGGCUGGCGGGUUGCUUGAAAUGCAGGUGCGGCUGGACACAUCUUCUGAGCUAUAAGCAUUACCUAUUUAGUCCCGUCAAACGGAUUAUUUCUAUUGCUACAGCUAAUAUAAAGGUUGAUUGUCCUGUGCCCGACUGAUGCAGGAAAACAUGGAGAAAUCCUUGUUCAACUCGAUCUCAAAUCAAGUAAGACUACCCGCUGAACUUAA
rnacentral:misc_RNA from 1 species